AGUUUUAUAGUCUAUAAAAGAUAUUAAAUUGCAAAUUUAAAGAAGCAAUAAGCUAAGACUU
rnacentral:tRNA from 1 species